rnacentral:rRNA from 1 species
AUUGAACGCUGGCGGCAUGCUUUACACAUGCAAGUCGAACGGUAACAGGCCUUCGGGUGCUGACGAGUGGCGAACGGGUGAGUAAUGCAUCGGAACGUACCCAGAGGUGGGGGAUAACGCAGCGAAAGCUGUGCUAAUACCGCAUGUGAUCUGAGGAUGAAAGCGGGGGACCGAGCAGCAAUGUUUGGCCUCGCGCCUUUGGAGCGGCCGAUGUCGGAUUAGCUAGUUGGUGGGGAAAAGGCCUACCAAGGCGACGAUCCGUAGCUGGUCUGAGAGGACGACCAGCCACACUGGGACUGAGACACGGCCCAGACUCCUACGGGAGGCAGCAGUGGGGAAUUUUGGACAAUGGGCGCAAGCCUGAUCCAGCAAUGCCGCGUGCGGGAAGAAGGCCUUCGGGUUGUAAACCGCUUUUGGCAGGAACGAAACGGUGUCCGCUAAUACCGGGCGCUAAUGACGGUACCUGCAGAAUAAGCACCGGCUAACUACGUG